AUUGAACGCUGGCGGCAUGCUUUACACAUGCAAGUCGGACGAGUGGCGAACGGGUGAGUAAUAUGUCGGAACGUACCGAGUAAUGGGGGAUACCUAAUCGAAAGAUUAGCUAAUACCGCAUAUUAUUCGAGCGGCCGAUAUCUGAUUAGCGAGUGGGUGGGGUAAAGGCCUACCAAGGCGACGAUCCGUAGCGGGUCUGCGAGGAUGAUUCGCCACACUUGGACUGAGACACGGCCCAGACCCCUACGGGAGGCAGCAGUGGCGAAUGUUGGACAAGGGGCGCAAGCCUGCUCCAGCCAUGCCGCGUGUCUGAAGAAGGCCUUCGGGUUGUAAAGGACUGUUGUCAUGGAAGCGGUACCUGAAGAAUAAGCACCGGCUAACUACGUGCCAGCAGCCGCGGUAAUUC
rnacentral:rRNA from 1 species